AGAACCUGGGGAGAUAUAUUCUGCCCAGUCCCUUGAGUAUUUAGGGAUAGAAAAAUCAAAACAGAUUCAAACUAAGAAUCAAAGUAAU